rnacentral:lncRNA from 1 species
UCCCAACUUUGUCCCUAUUAAAAUUUUCCUUCUGAUUUAAUCCUUCAAUUAUUCUUUUCUUCUUACUUAAUUAAUCAACUUGGAUUUGGGUAGGAUGUUGGGAAAUCUAUCUUGGAAAGCUAUUCAAGGGUUCUUGAGAGCCUGGCAUUCAACAUCGUGGCACGCAUUGAUGAUCUUCUUUAUGUAGAUGACUUGACAAGGCAUUCAGAUCAGUUCCCAUCAAUGCACUCCGAUCAAUUCCCAUCAAUCUCCAAAGUUAGUGUGAUUUCACACAAGGCAACUCCUAUUCCAUAUUCAUCAGUGCCCAUCUCAAGCACUCCAUAUAAAACAGCUUAUGCCACACCAAACUAUUCACCUGCACAGCGAGCUAGCCCUCUCAGGGUAGAAAAAUCACCUUUCAUGACCAAUGCCAAGAUUUCUCCUCAGCGUGGAUUAGGCGUAAAGAAGGUUCUGACUGAUUAUCUUAGCAUUGAUACAAAAGGAAAGAACUACAGCAACUCGACUGAGUCACCAGGUUCAGUCUCGGACACGAUACAAGCAACUCUUGCAUCUCAAAUGCGACGAGGUUCUUUUGAGUCUUCAAGCGCAUCAAGCAGCCCGGUGACUCAGGACUCAGACACACAGGAAAGGAUCCACAUUUAGGUUGUUGGCUCUUGUUAGAACAAGAUGUGUGUAAUGGUGUUGAGUUGAGAAGUUCAUAUUUGUAAUGUGCAUUACUUGUAUUUCCAGUUUUGAGUUUGUUCCCGAGUCACUGUCUGGCAUGGGUCAAGCAGUGAUUGUAAAGAGAGAACUAAUUCCUACACUACUACUUUGGACAGAGUAUAUGAAGUUCUGUUGCUUUCUCAUGCAGCCUGUGGAUCUGAUAGUCAGUGCAUGAUAUCACUAGAGCAUUUUGAUUACAUCAAGUUGGGUUUGCAACUCGGUGUUCAAUAUUUAAUCUUUGGCGACGUGAUCCCUCAGCAAGCUCAAGUGUAGCUCUAGCCCUGCAUCUGUAUGUCCAUUUAGGUUGCACACCCCUGUACUUGCAACUAGACUUAAAUCACAAGUGACCUGUGAUCCCAAAUCUCAUCGCAUUCAAGUAUCAAAUUUGAUGCAUGCUGUAAAGCUCGGUUCUUCUCUGCAUCCAUAUCCUUAUCUCGAUCAUCUCCUUCCUUCUAGCACGUUCAAGACGUGAGGCUGCACCCAAGUUGUAGUCUAAGAUAAUUGUGGAAUCUAGCAUCUAAGAAAGCUAUGGACCUUCCAGCGUAUAAUGUUAGGUUACACUCCUCAGUCCUCACUAUAUAUAUGCACUCACUCACAGAGUCUCACACAGGCACACUCUUAGUCCCUUCAUCAUCUAACAAAAGAAAGACCCUGUAUCACUCAGGUAUUGAGGGGGAGUACUGGAGGUAGGAAAAAUAUAAAAAAUAAUUGAGGGGGCAUUCCGAGAAUUGAACUCGGGACCUCUCGCACCCUAAGCGAGAAUCAUACCACUAGACCAAAUGCCCGCUUUUGUUAUUUUUACCACCAACUGUAUACAAAUUCGUUGGAGUUUUUCCGUUACAUGAAGAUGGACUUGGAUUUCAAUAAUAAAAUAGAUCGACCUCUUCAGUAAUGGACUAAAAUUUCAAUAGAACAAAUUUCCAGUUAAUGGAAUUCAGCUCCAUGAAGGCAUGAACUGCAGGGAAGCAGCUCUUACAAAUUGUCUCGCAUAAUUGUCUCGCAUUCAGUUUGAUUACAAGAACAUAGUUUUCUGGUUUAGUGGAUCAAAAAUGGUUUGUUCUGGAAGAUCCAUUUAGUGUGCCAGUUGGUUACACGUUUCGACAAGGAAGAGGUCCUUCCAUGGUCGGUAAUAGAUUUAUGCGCAGUUGAGGUGAGGUGUCUGAAUAAGAUAAGAGCUUCCAGGUUCUUCACUGUCACUAAUGGCUACACCUUAAUGAUAUCUAUAUUGAAGAUGCCAACCCAAAAUUGAGUAAAAUGAAACACCUAACCCCUCACACCAGUUUCUGCACCCAAAAGUGAUCUUGCUUCUAGUGCUAGCUCCAUUACUACUCAGUGGGUGAUUGGAGAAACCACAUUUUAUGUGCUUCUAUUCAGCUAUAAAAACCCUGUCUCAUUGUAACAUAACAACAUUGUGGGAUCAUUCAGAGUAUUAAAACUUGAGCAUUCUAGAAAAAAAAAAAUAGGAGACACCAAUGAAGUUCAUUUGCAUUCUGGGAUUUCUUGCAGUGGUUAUCAGCUUCCAUGUGGUUGAUGCGGCAAGCGCAUGUGGAAAGUCGACUCCAGAUGAAGAGGCAAUGAGCCUUGCCCCUUGUGCAAUGGCUGCACAAGAUGCAAAAGCUGCUGUUUCUGAUGGUUGUUGCAAGCAAGUGAAGAGAAUUGGAGCAAACCCUAGCUGUCUCUGCGCUGUUCUGCUCUCCGACACUGCCAAGAGCUCCGGUGUGAAGCCUGAAGUCGCCAUUACCAUUCCUAAACGCUGCAACUUCGCCAACCGCCCAGUUGGCUACAAGUGUGGAGGUAACUAUACCUCAUAUAAUGUUGUGAUGUUGUGACAUGCAUGUAAUGUUAUCACUGUCAAUUUUCAUACUCAAAAAUAAUGAACCCCCCUACUAACACAAUGCUAAUGUUGCAGCUUAUACACUUCCAUGAUUGGAUUUAAAGGAAGUGGUGCAGAAGGCCAUGUAUUGGAGCUCUUGGCUACUAGCUAGUGUAACCAAGUAUAGAUUACUCCUUGUACUUUGACAAAUAAAGCUAGUAGCUUGUAUCAUUUUACUGUAUCUUAAAUAACAAAUUAUGGAAUUUCAGUACGAGGACUCUCCAGUGUGCUUGAAUAAUUGUUCUCUCCUACUUUUGAGUUUUGACACAUCUCAUUUGCUCUUGAUCUUGUACUCUAAACCUAAAAUUGACAAGUGUUUUAUAGCGUUCUAAAGUAUGAAGUCAUUACUAACAUGUUAGAUUAGUUUAAUAAAAAAUACGCACCACAUUAAAAAAAUCACACUAUUUAGUUGCUUAAAAAAGAUCUUGGAAUUGCAAAGCUAUGGAUGACAACAAGAACCAUUACAGACAAAGAUUCAUGGUAACAUCAAAAUCAGACCCAACUUUGAAUCUUAUGCUGCUCACAUGACACACCUGCUAUGCUUUCCUUUAACGACCGAAACUAACUACCACAGAAAGCAAUAUCCCACCAGACAUGGGAUAAGGACUGGUUUGAACUGUAGGUUAUCUAGGUCAUAUAUGGAUAGGGGAAUAACCUCAACUGACAAUCUCAAGGUCGGAUAAGAAAAUUGAAAGGACAGUUUAGAGGUCAUGCAGCUCGACAGGUUGCCAAGAUAAUUUUGGAUUCUGGGCCACACCGACUUUGAAGAGUGAUUUGGUAGUUAGUAGUGCGUGGCACUUUCAAAUUUGGGACCUCAGCUUUGAGGUGAAGAAGAAACUGUAGGGAUAAGCAUGCAGACGCAGUAGUAAAACUAAAAUGGAAGAGUGCAAUGGAAGAGAGUUGAAAAGCCAUUCAUCCAAAAGCCUUAACAUUAGAAGUUCAACCUUACAAAGAUAAGCAUAACCUGUAGUUACUACAUAUCCAAAUCUCCAACUACAUUACAUGAUAGUAGUUGUUGAUAAAUGGAGGAUACUAAAAGGAACAUUUUACAUUAGAGACAGAGCUAGAGAGGGAGAAAGAGAGAAACAGUACUACUGCAUCUUUCUUUACAGUGACCCUAAAGAAGAUGCAUGCAUAUAUAAACUGUGGUUUCAUACGGAUCGCUGUGUGACCGAGGAGAAAGAAAAGAAACCAGCUUCCACAACGAUCUGCUGCUGCUACUAAACUACUUCCUAUUAUGCCUGCAAGGAGUUCAAACAGAAAACUAUUUCGUUACAUCAAACUUCAAACUAGGAAAGGCAUCAAAACAUGGAACAAUGUUCUCUUAGCAGGAAGGAAAUGAAUUUAUUCAAGACAUAAUUCAUCAUGUUUAGAUAGGAAGGAAUAUUUGCCUGCAAGGAAUAUUUGCAAACAGAAAACUAUUUUGUUACAUGAACUUCAGACUAGGAAAGACACCAAAACAUGGAACAAAGUUCUAUUGGCAGGAAGGAAAUGAUUUUAUUCAAGACAGAAUCCAUCAUACUACUUAAGCAUGCAUCUUUCCUUUUCUUACCAAAAUUCAUGUGUUUAUGUGAAGGAGUUUAUCACGGCGUUUAAUCACCAAAGCUAAUGAAUGAUGUAUUGAUGUUUAUUAAGCAAUAUUCGUUCAGAAAGAAAGAUAGAAUUGAACUUUUUACUCCAAAGAAUGACAGAAAUAGAACUAAUAACUUUCGGUUAAAAAAGAAAUAAACAUCCCAAACCAGAGACUCAGAUUCUAUAAAGAAUCACCAAACUUGUAGUUCAGGCAAGUUUAAAGACAACCAGGGGUAACAAAGCAGAUGCCAAAGAAGAAGAUAUCUGGAUCUAGAGUUCCUAUAAAUGUUGAAAAUUUACCUGGAUGAGAAUGGCGAGAGACUUCUUAAUAAUAGAGAGACCCUACAAAUGGAGAAAGUUGGCAGAAAAGGAAAUGUCAGAACAAUACAGCUUGAUUCCGAAAAGGCUUGUUCAUGCAUCACCACAAUGAACAAUUACCGGUUCUUACCUUGCCACCAGUUUCCUCUGCAAGCAGUGCCAUCAUCGUCGGUCCCAUCUUUCUUGUACUGAAGCAAACACAAAACAAAUCAUCAAGUUAGACACAAUGGAAUUUCUGCGGCAUUACUGGAUGAGAAAUUUCUGUAUUUGCAGCAGCCUAUAGUCGAGAACUGUUUCUGCGGUAAAAGAUAAUAAAAAAAAGAAAGAAACUCUCAAGUCUCACCGUAGAGUUAUAAGAGUCCUGGCUGUUCUGGGGCUGAUGAUAGAUGUCUUGACCACCAUAGUAGAUUGAUGAACUGAGAUGACAUGGUUGUUGCGAUCUCUGAUCAUAAUAGUGUGAACUGUCCUUGAUCUGUGUGCUCUGACCCUCAACUGCUUUGCCAUUAGAGUAAUCACCUGCGCAGACAGAAAGAAACCAUGAAUUAUCACAGACACAAAUAAAGCCAAGCAUUACUGAAUCUACAAAACUGAAACAGGACCAGGUAUAACUCACUAGCUAUUUGACAAAAAUCAAGAACUAAAUACAUACUCUUCUAUAAUCAAAACAAUGGGAGCAAGACAGGCCUAGUAAAAGAUUAUAUUUCCGAAUUCAGAUUUGUAACAAUAAGCUAGAAAAGCCAUGCAAAAAACCUGGCUGUGUUGAGUUGAAGUGCAACGGCUGAUCAGUGUACUUUUUCCUUGUGAGCUCAGAACGCAGUGAUUCCCUGCUUAGCACCUAGAUCAACGCCAAAAAAAACCUUUCUCAGAAUCUAGUACAACAUGAAAUAAACAAAUGUAUACAAUCACACAGAAAUGGUAAAAACAACAUACAUGCACCACCAUUGCAUAAAUAAUUCAAGCCCUCAUUGCAAAUCUUGUUUUAACAAUUCAGAAAAGAAGUAAAAAAGGGAAAAUUCACUUGUAUACCAUGAUUGAGAACCUUCACUAGAUUUGAAGGGAAACAUGGAUAAACCCCAUGAAGAUUUUAGAAUAACAAAAACAAAUAAUACAAUCCAACAAAGGCGAUGGUUUUCACCUAUAUCCAAUCCAAAACAGUCAUAAGAUUCAAACCCCAUUACCAAAAGGAAACAUAACAGAACAAACCUCUGCAAAUCCUCGAAUGCAGGGGACAUCAAUCACACGACCAAAUUGAAUAGAAUCAAACAUUACAAUCAAAAUAUGCACCAAAACAUAAACCAAUACCUUCGGGGAGUUCAAGGGAGGAGCGAAAAUGGCUCCGAAAAUCCCAGAUGAAGAGGAGGAGGACGAGUCUUUGGACCCGAACAGCUCAGAAGUGAAGGAAGAAGAAGAAGACGACUCAGCUGGCUUUCUUCCCUCCAUGUUUUUUUGUCUCUCUGAUAAUCCUCACAAUCCCAAAACCUCUCUGUAUCUCUCUCUGUGUUUUGUGCCCUGAACAGUGUUUAGGUGGGUUUAUAUAGAGAAGCAGAGAAAGCACCGUCACGAGAAGGAAGCUUAAUAAAUAUGAAACGGCCCCUGGAAAUGGGUCCGCUGGAAAACAAAAACAAAAACGAAACGUCGAUACACAGAAACACAGCAAAAAGAAAAACAGAGAGCCAAGAGGGAAGGACACGUGAAAAAUCAAAGGGCAUCGAGUAAAAACGAAACCGUUGCUCCCACCCAAUUUAUAAGCCAAAAACGACGCCUACCCAAUUCAAACUUUUAUUUUUAUUUUUCCAUUUUAAUUAUUUUUCUCAAUCAGACUUGAAAAUCUCGUACUGUGAUUCUCUUUUCUCACGUGUCUCGCCUAAGAUCUCUCCUCUGUUUCCUCUAUUUUUUCGUUCUUUUUUACGUCUCUGUUUCUGGUUCUUCAACCUGUCCUGGAGUGUUACAGAUUUCCGCCACGUGGAGAGGUGGGUCCUCUGUUUAUGUUCCAAUGUAUUACUGCCACGAGUACCUCUAGUGGAUAAUAACCACCCUGCCCUACUUAACCCUAUUUUUCUGACUUUCUUUUCCCUUUUGUUUUGGACACGAAAAUGGGGCGUGAGGUACAUGGUUUAUAGAGGUUGAGAGAACCAAACCUAUGUAGCCUUAUCUUUUUAUCUUGUCGGACCAAAAUAGAGAUGGGUCUUCUCCUACCCUCCCCGUUCCUUUUUACUUUCUAUGAUUUCGCAUUUGAAAGUUAGAAACUUAAAGACAAAACAACGAUCACGCGAAUUUUUACACAGUUUGGUUAGUUAUGUUAUUGAAGAAAAAUUGUUAAAACAUGUGACAAGUUAUGUAAGUUGCAUAAUUUAUGGACUGGUUUCAUAUAUUAAUCUUAGAUUCAAUUUGAUUUGCCUAAUAUGCAUGUUGUGAUCGUCUUGUUAGUUAGGAUAAUUAUUGAAUCAAAUGAUUUAAUCAGUUAGGUCGAUACGUUACUAUGUCUAAAUUUUAAUUUCUGAACAUAUGAUGUUUGUUAUAUGUUGACAGGUAAUAUUUUGGCAUGUACACGUGUUAUUUUGUUUUAUCUUUUUCUUUUUUAUGUCGUGUCAGAUCACGAAUUAAGGUAUUUUGCAAGAAGUAAUUUCUUCUGUUAAACCGUUAUCAUAUCAAUUUAAAGCGUUGUGUUGUGUUGUGUUGUGUUGUCAACUUAUUUGGUUAAUGAUUUAUUGUUAGAUGUUUUAUAUUAGUUAGUUGACAAUUGUGUUCAUAUACGCUAUCAAAUUAAUAAGUUUUGGUUCGUAUUACGGUUGAUUAGUUGACAAAUAAUGGUGUCAGAAAAUAACUAUGAUUUAUGAGAAUCAUUAAUAAUAGUUGGUCUGAGCUUGGUACACGUGCUAAUUCACACCACGUGUUGAGUAGCGACCAGGUUAUGCUAUGUAACAGUGUGACGGUGUGUUGUGUAAUAAUUAAUUCAUUAUCUAGCGGUUUAGAUUGUACUUUAUUGUAGUCACACAUCAUACUAUGUUGUGAGAAGAUCAUAUUACAUAUCGAUGCCGUCAUUCAAUAAAGAGACAAACUUUUGAUAAAGUAGUUAUUUUACGUUAAUUACUGACAUUAUGUAAAGUUGUUACUCUUUGUAAAUUAUUCAUUGUUGAAUGCUUCUUAUUAUCAGACGAUAUGUUAUGAUUGUUGAAAAAAUGUGGCUUAGAUUAGAGCCUUUUGAAAUCCCACAUCAGAAAUGUGAAGAGUUAUCCUUGGGUUAUAAAGAAUGAUAUUACACAUACUAAUGUCGAGGCCUUUUGUGUAAAACCCCGUUUCUCCACCGGGUGACUAAAGUGGGGGGAGUAUUGGCAUUAUUGGACUCGUGUGUGUAAAACCCUCGGGGCCCGUCGUGUCGGCCGCUUCCGCGUAACAAGUGGUAUCAGAGCCUAGGUGACGCUUGAGACUUAGUGUCUCAUACGAUCGAGUUACAAUUUGGUGGAGCUCUCGUUUGGAUUGAGAUCACAUGAUUUGAAAUUUAAUGCUUGUGAUCACGGUUGAGCUAUUAAGACUUGGAUCGUGAGAUUUGGAGAUGGUUCGAAUCACGUCAGGUGGAGAUUGUUGAAAAAGUGUGGCUUAGAUUAGAGCCUUUUGGAAUCCCACAUCAGAAACGAGAAAAGUUAUCCUUAUGUUAUAAGGAAUGAUACCACACACAUUAAUGUCGAGGUCUUUUGUGUAAAACCUCAUUUCUCCACUGGGUGGCUAAAGUGGGAAAAAUUGGCAUUAUUUGACUCAUGUAUGUGAGACCCUCGGGGCCCGUCGGUCGCUUCCGCGUAACAAUGAUUGCAGGUACAUGUUGUGUUAUUUGAAAAAAUUUACUUAGUAUUUGCCACAAUCGAACACGUUAUACAUUGUAUGAAUAUCUAGAGUUCAAUAACAAAUCGAGACAAUUAUCAAAAGAUGAUGAAAGUUUGACGUUGUUGAUCAAAAGUCUUAUAAAUUAUUUCACACACAUUGGUUAAACGCAUUUUAAUGUCAAAUAAGUAGUUUCGUAUCAAAUUCUCCGAUAAAUUAGUUGAUAUAUUACGUCAAACACUUUCACGAAAACAAUAUCGUUUAAACAACAUUCUAUGUGAUUCGAUCAAUGUUUUGGACAAGAGAUCGAGUUUAAAGCUCAUAAACAAUGAGUCAAAUUUCUUUGGAUCCAAAUUUGUAUGUCGGUGUUACAGACAAGGUUUUCAAUGGUUUGAAUUUGUAAUCGGAAAUUAGUUGAUAAUGAAGAUUCAGGGGGCCACAAGUAAAGGACAAAGUGCCCGACUCAUACAUAGGACAAUAGAGUGAAUUGACAUAUAUAGCAGGGGUGUUUAGCACCACUGAGGAUCGCCGCAUGGUGCACGUGUGUUCAAUUUUGUGCCACGUGGAACAAUCCACACCAUACAAACCUUUUCGCUUGCGAAAACUCAAAACCCCAUAAGGCCAGAACAUUGUUUCCUCAUCAUAAACCAUUAACAUACUGUUGCAUUCUACGCGCUCAUCUUCUCGGCUCAAAAACACUAAUCUCCCCUAAACCUAGCUGAACAUGUCUCCCAAGCUCGAACCCUCCAAGGUUGUCGAGGUCUACGUCCGUGGCACCGGAGGUGAGAUAGUUCCUUCAGUUUUCUCGCUCUCGAUCAAGAGCAGAAGUUCAUAAAUCCAGAAACCCAAAAUUGCUUGGUUAUGAAUUUUUUCAAACCAUGGCAGCAACCAUUCAGCUCCACUGCUCUAAUGUCUUUGGCAACGACAACCCUAAUAAAUCUAGCCCUUUCAUUCAUUUCCAAAAGCCAAGAAUGAGGCUCUAUCAUUCGUCGUCCCCAAACCCAAUCAGGUAAGACGUGACCUUUCAUUUUUCGACAAUGGAAGCAACGGCGUUGGUAGAGGAGAUGGUGGGAGUCGUUGCGGUUAAAGACAUACAAAUGACAAUAAAUAUUAGAAACGUACCCUCAAUUUUCUCUGGCCCUUUAUAUUUUUGAUUCAAUCACAAAAAGCCCAUAAUCGGAGAACCUCUUCUUCAAUUUUGAGAGCGGCAUACUCUCCCCACAUUUCUUGCUUCCAUAUUUUACCUUGAUUGAUAAAAUUUUUACUCAUUCCAUGUGUUUUUACCAUGUUUAUCAGCUUUUUUACUUAAAUUUUCAGUCUAAUCACUCUAAUGUGACCCUACUACUAAGGAAUUAGGAACUUCAAAGAGAAUGAUGAACACUCUCGUUUUAAAGUAUAUUUUAUUUGUUUUAUGUACCUUAUGGAAACAUCGACUUUACGGGUCAUAGUAAAUUAUAGGAACUUAAUAUAACAUAAGAAAAAUAAGGAAAUAAAUCUAGACGAAGAAGGUAGUAUGAUAAAAUCGAAUCAAAUAUGGAAUUAAUAUUAACCUCUCUAUUACCUGUUAUAGGUGUCUCACUGACUUCCCAAAAACAAAAACUCUCUCAUGAACAUAUGAGAAAAUGAGAUACCGACACAUACAUCUCGUCAUGUCAUUAUACGAGAUAAUGAGGUGGUGACCAAAACCAAUUAAUAAAUUCCAUCUCAAAUACGAUUUUACCAAAUCCUCAUGUUGGAUUUGACCUCAUAGAUUUCUAGUCUUCAGGUUAGGCAGGUUCUGUGAAAAAGGCCAUCUCAAUUUCCAUAUAAAUACAACUUUACUGGAUAACAAUUGCUUAUCUUGCUUAUCUUUGUUUGUUUCCUUCGAUAUUUUUUCUUUCAUUUUGUCAUUCGCUUUCUUCCUUGUCCAACUAUAUAUAUUACUGUGUGGAUACAACAAUUUCCACCAGUGCAUCGUUGAAUUCAGGUCUUUAUUUUUCUUGGCAUGCAAGAUGAAAUUAGAAGCACUAAAAUUUUGUUGACAAGAAAAAAAAACCUCUUACAAUAUCAUUUUCUUGUGCUGCUUGCCUGCUUAUUGCAUCGUAAUUUUAUUUAUUAGAGCUUCUAAUAGGCAUUUUAUUACAAACAGUGACCAAUGUUCUACAUAAAUUCAUCAUUAACGUAAAAAAAACUAAUGUAAUUUUGUACUUAAUCGCAACAGAAUAUCUCUGCAUGUCUUAAUCCAUCUUAUAAAUUACACAUCUGGGUUUAUCUAGGAGUCUCCUAAAAACUAUUAAUCCAUCUUAUCCAUACAGAUUGUAACCCUAACAUAUAUAUAUUCCAUCAUAUGACAGAUACUGAAGCUGGGUUAUCAUAAACGUGAGAGCCUUUAUAUAUAUAUAUAUAUAUAUAUAUAUAUAUAUAUAUAUAUAUAUUAUCAUAAACGUAGAGAGCCUUAUAUAUAUAUAUAUAUAUAUUAUCACAAAGUCUCUCACUUAUUUCCAUCACAAAAUGGUGAAAUACAGUAUGCUUGCUUGUGCGUUUUCGAUUAAUAUCUAAUUAAAAAGGGUCCCUCGGCGUUCAAGUUAGUCAAAAAGCCAGAAAGGCUCUGUUCUUUUCAUUAACUAAUUAGGGAUAAGACUCAUAACAGAUGUGGAUCAGAUCUUAACAACACCACCAGGCACCAGCUUAUGAUUAAUAUACAGACCCGAAAUAAGAACAAGAAGAACAACUCUGCGGAGGAGAACAACCGAUCGCAGAACGCAUGCCCUUUCUUUCUCUGAACCUAUCAGUUUCGGAUGGCAAGGAUAAGAACCAAAGCCAGAAAAAAGUACAAGAAUCCAAAAGAUCCACGUUAACAACAUGAAGACGAUGGAUGCAUGAUAUCACUUUGCCCUAAGCCCUAGCGAGGCCCGCGUGUGCUUUUUCACUAGCCUCCAAAUUUUUGGGAUUUGGCUACUACUGUGUGGUGUAUAUGCAAAGUUUCAGUGCUGCAAUGGUUUUGCGUUAAAUUUUUGUUCCUUUGGAAAUUGUGUUGUACGUUUCAAGAGAAGAUGGAGAAAACGUGAACCAAACUCAGCAGAGCAGAAAGGUUGUAGUUUGGGAACUCGGAUGCUCUAGCUGUUAUGGUUUUCAUGACAUAAUUCGUGAAGCAGUGUAUGUCGUAGCGGAUCAAUUUGAGAACGUAGUUUUAACAAGUUAAAAGUUUAUUUGUUAAUUUGGAUAUAGUAAAAUCAAGAGUGAUAGCUCAUAGGAAAAUUUCGAAUUUAUGAUGCAACGGAAAUAUAAAUGUUGGAAUCCACCAACGACAACUUGAACAACUUGAAUUCACAAGUCUGGUUUUCUCGAAUCCACGAGAGAAUCUGGAAUCCAUCGAAAGAAUUUGAGAGAACUCAAAAAGUUUAUUAAUAUCAAAGAUGACGACUACAACCGAUUAAAGUUCCUUAUAUAGGAAAAUAAAUCGUAGGGCAACUAACAACUAAGCCUAAAAUCCCAUAGGUUAAAAGAAAAUAAACUAAAAAAAACCUAAAAUAAUACUAAAUGCCGAAUCGGAUUAAUAAAACGAUGUCUUUUGGUCUUAAUCUGACAAGGCUCACUAAAGUGAGUCUUAUAGAUCUCAUCGUUCCCAUUCCAGAAAGAUAUUAUGUGUUCCAAACGAACAUUCUGGUCAAAAGUUACUCCAUAUCAGAUUUGUCUUGAAUAUUCCAACGGCUAGCAACCCCUUCACACGAGAAUUACCGAUCUUCAAAUCAUUCUUUUUUAUUAUUCACCGCUUCUUGACUUUUAUUUUGUUCUGUCUAAAUUUAGUCCAUUCUCAUCCUACAUCAAUUUAGAAGUGAUGGGAGAUGAGAAAAAAGAAGUUUAACAUGCACAUAGAUGGUCGAAUUAUAUGAGAGGAGCUAUGUAAGAACCAUAUAAGAAUCUCAAUCAUCACAUUUCCUAAUCUUUAUUUUCAAUUCGUAACAAGUUCUUAUUCUUCCGCUUCAAAUCUCGUAUGUGAAGGUUAAUAAGUCGAUUUCAUAUUCCAGAAGUAAACAACAUGUUUCUAAGUUCUAACAUUAUAUAUCAAGUACAUACUAAAAUCAACAAUCAACACUCAUGACAUUGCCAACAUGAAUUUUUAUUAAUGAGAAUCCCUCGUUAUGUCCUCUCUCUCUCUCNNNNNNNNNNNNNNNNNNNNUAUACUCUCUCUCUCUCUCUCUCUCUCUCUCUCUCUCUCUCUCUCUCUCUCUCUCUCUCUCUCGGAAACGCACUACAAAUCUCUAUCUCUACAAUUUCUU